rnacentral:rRNA from 1 species
UUGAAAGGGAAACGAUUGAAGUCAGUCGUACCAGCGGGAAAUCAACCUUUCGAGUGGGGUUUUGGGGUUUUGAAGAGUGUUAAGCCUUUGAGAUUUCGAAACGUUCGCUCUUUUGGUGUACUUUCUCGUAGGUAGGUUAACAUCGAUUUUGAUCAUCAUAAAAAGAUUGGAGGAAUGUAGCUUUGAUCUCGUAUUGAAGUGUUAUAGCCUUCGGUAGAUGUGAUAAUCGGGAUUGAGGAUUGCAACGGAUACCCUUCGGGGCUACCUGUCUGAUCUCUGAUCGUUGCUCUGGUGCCGAAAGCUUGCUUACGGUUANCAAAGUCGAUGGUCAAUAGGUUAGAACGGGUUAAAUUCGUUAAGGAUGUUGACGUA